rnacentral:lncRNA from 10 species
CUUGUGGUGACCUGGGAAUCAAUGUGUGAGGUGGUGCUAUGUAGCAGGAACCCCUCUUGCUUUGCAAAUAGUUUUUUGUUUGUUUUCCUUUUUGCCCAAUAGAGCCCUGCUCUACUGACCCUUCAAUGUGCCCGUGUGCCUAAAUAUUCCUGGUCGUGUGAAAAGAACCCAGGUAUUAGCUGAACUAAGGAGCACAAUUCUGCAACAUUUUGGCACCCAAACACGGGGCUUGAGAAAUGAAUGCAAUUGGAGAAACUGGUUGUUUUACCAGGCGUUGAUUGGAAAUGUGUGCUUCCCUUUAAGCAGUCAAGCUCAACUUGCAGAACUGAUGGGAACCCCUUGGGAAAACUGGCCUCAAAUGUUUGUCUACACAGUCCACAUACAGGGUUCUUAACCUGCGAUGAGGGAAACUUCCCAGGGCUUGUCUGGGUAUGCCCACAGUGGACUGGAGCCCAAAAUGCACACUGGAGGAAGUGGAUGGAGCCACGUGGAUGUCAUGCCUUAUGCAGGGGAGGAGCCUGCUCUCUUCAGCUCCUGUGGUAAUGUGGGAAUCGAUCUGUGAGAUGGAGUCUUGUUCUGUGGUCCAGGCUAGAGGGCAGUGGCAUGAUCUCGGCUCACUACAAGCUCUGCCUCCCGGGUUCACGCCAUUCUCCUGCCUCAGCCUCCUGAGUAGCUGGGACUACAGGCGCCCGCCACCACGCCUGGCUAAUUUUUUGUAUAUUUACUAGAGAUGGCUAGUGUUAGCCAAGAUGGUCUCGAUCUCCUGACCUCGUGAUCUGCCCACCUCAGCCUGCCAAAGUGCUGGGAUUACUGGCGUGAGCCACCGUGCCUGGCCAGCAUCCUCUAAUUAUUAUUCAUAGUUUGUGAAUUUAGGCCUACGUGAAUAAUAAUAUAAUAUUUACUAUGAUGUUACUAUCUACCAACCUUAUUUUUCUUUUCUAUAAAAUAGGAGCCAAAAUAAUAUUUAUGUCAUACCUUAUGAAGUUAAAAUAAAAUAUAACGAAUGAGGGGCUUAA